rnacentral:rRNA from 1 species
UACGUAGGGCGCAAGCGUUGUCCGGAAUUAUUGGGCGUAAAGAGCUUGUAGGCGGUUUGUCGCGUCUGCUGUGAAAAUCCGGGGCUCAACCCCGGACUUGCAGUGGGUACGGGCAGACUAGAGUGUGGUAGGGGAGACUGGAAUUCCUGGUGUAGCGGUGGAAUGCGCAGAUAUCAGGAGGAACACCGAUGGCGAAGGCAGGUCACUGGGCCGCAACUGACGCUGAGGAGCGAAAGCAUGGGGAGCGAACAGG